CAGCAGCCGCGGGAAAACAGAGGGUGCGAGCGUUAAUCGGAUUUACUGGGCGUAAAGCGUGCGUAGGCGGCUAAUUGAGUCGGAUGUGAAAUCCCCGAGCUUAACUUGGGAAUUGCAUUCGAUACUGGUUAGCUAGAGUGUGGGAGAGGAUGGUAGAAUUCCAGGUGUAGCGGUGAAAUGCGUAGAGAUCUGGAGGAAUACCGAUGGCGAAGGCAGCCAUCUGGCCUAACACUGACGCUGAGGUACGAAAGCAUGGGGAGCAAACAGGAUUAGAUACCCCAGUAGUCCCUGUCUCUUAUAA
rnacentral:rRNA from 1 species